rnacentral:tRNA from 1 species
GGAGAGAUAGCCGAGUGGUUGAAGGCGUAGCAUUGGAACUGCUAUGUAGGCUUUUGUUUACCGAGGGUUCGAAUCCUUCUCUUUCUG